GGCAUUUCCCAUCGUUGGGCAGCACGAUCCCGCCCAGUUUCCCAUCUCCUGCGAAGUGGGAGCCGGCGUCGGUGGAGAAUACGAGUAGGCGGGUCACAUUCCUCCAGCCAAUUGCUUCCUAGGGGACGUGGUAAACACUGUGAAGCCAACCCUUUGUCUAUGUGUCUCCGGGGACAACGCUCACUGGAAACAAAGGCCAAACUCAGCUGAGGAUCAAAGCCCCCGACCACCCAUCCCUCCCCCUCACCUCGCACGCAGCAACCUGCAUCAGGGCAUCCAGCCCCCCUUCAGGCGAGUCCAGGUUUCCUGAGAUGUUCUGGCGGCCCACAAGCUCACCGAACAGGCUUCCGUUUUGGGUAAGGCUGAGGACGUGGCGGAAGCUGAAGGCCGGGGCGCAGGACUGGGGCUCCUGUCUCUUACAGGGGUUCUGCAGCAUGGACUCCGUGGUGCUGAUGUACGGCAUCACCGUCUUGUCCACAAACGCGCCGAACCCUUCACGUGCAGACGACAGUUUUUGUUUUUAGAAGUUUGUCGAAAAUUCUCAGACCUACAUCCUUUUUACUUUUACUACAAGUAAACAAAUCUUAAUUUACAGAGAGCACAUGAGAGUACUGACAUUUACUUUUUAAAACACUGAGCAAAUGCUGUGAUCCUGAGCAACUCAUACGGCUUACAUUAUUUGCGUACAGUCCAUUUUUACUGCUGGAUAUUUCCUGAAGCAAUUCAGGUCAAGUGCCUUGCUCAAGACUACAACUGCAGUGCUCCACCUGUAAAUUGAUCUUACAACCUCAGAUUUACAAGCCCUGUUUCCCUAACCAUUAUUCUUCAUCCUAUGAUGAAGUUGUGUAUCCCAGCCUCUCCACAAUACUAACCUGAUGAAGGCCUGUUCAUCAUAUUUUAAAACAAAUUCAAAUCCAAAUCCAUUCUCCAGUUUAUUUCUUCAGUGCAGAUGUAGUAUAGUGGAGCUUACACUUUAAGACUGCACUUUAGUACAAAGCUGUUCCUGGAGAACUGCUAUCCUGUAGGUUUUCAUUUCAACCCUAAUUUGGCACACUUGAUGCUAUUAGCAGCUCAAUAUGAUCUCUAGCUGUUGAAUGAGGUGUGCUUGUUAGGGUAUGAGUGAAAACCCACAGGAUGGUAGAUCUCCAGGAACAGGGUUGGGCAGCCCUGCUUUAAUCCCUGCUAUGUGUUGCUUUACAGUGGAGUGAGAGAGUACAAUGUUAAUGUAUGAUGAUGUGUUUAACUAUAAGACCAGCAAUGAAUGAAGCCAGAGCAGGCAAAUCAAAUAUGUAAGAGCAGUAGCAGUAUUGAGAGAACAAACGGACUGUUCACAUU